rnacentral:rRNA from 1 species
GAUGAACGCUCGCUACAGGCUUAACACAUGCAAGUCGCGGGGCAGCAUGGGGGUUGCUUGCAAUCCCCGAUGGCGACCGGCGCACGGGUGAGUAACGCGUAUCCAACCUGCCCUUCACCACGGGAUAACCCGGCGAAAGUCGGACUAAUGCCGUAUGUUGUCCAUUGACGGCAUCCGAUUUGGACGAAAGGUUUGGCGGUGAAGGAUGGGGAUGCGUCCGAUUAGCUGGACGGCGGGGUGACGGCCCACCGUGGCGACGAUCGGUAGGGGUUCUGAGAGGAAGGUCCCCCACACUGGAACUGAGACACGGUCCAGACUCCUACGGGAGGCAGCAGUGAGGAAUAUUGGUCAAGGGGCGUAAGCCUGAACCAGCCAAGUAGCGUGCAGGAUGACGGCCCUAUGGGUGGUAAACUGCUUUUAUGCGGGGAUAAAGUGGCCCACGUGUGGGUUUUUGCAGGUACCGCAUGAAUAAGGACCGGCUAAUUCCGUG